rnacentral:rRNA from 1 species
CCUACGGGAGGCAGCAGUGAGGAAUAUUGGUCAAUGGACGAGAGUCUGAACCAGCCAAGUAGCGUGAAGGAUGACUGCCCUAUGGGUUGUAAACUUCUUUUAUAUGGGAAUAAAAUGUUCCACGUGUGGGAUUUUGUAUGUACCAUAUGAAUAAGGAUCGGCUAACUCCGUGCCAGCAGCCGCGGUAAUACGGAGGAUCCGAGCGUUAUCCAGAUUUAUUGGGUUUAAAGGGAGCGUAGGUGGAUUGUUAAGUCAGUUGUGAAAGUUUGGGGCUCAACCGUAAAAUUGCAGUUGAAACUGGGAGUCUUGAGUACAGUAGAGGUGGGCGGAAUUCGUGGUGUAGCGGUGAAAUGCUUAGAUAUCACGAAGAACUCCGAUUGCGAAGGCAGCUCACUGGACUGCAACUGACACUGAGGCUCGAAAGUGUGGGUAUCAAACAGGAUUAGAUACCCCGGUAGUC